rnacentral:rRNA from 1 species
UUAAGAAAAUUUUUAUAAAAACUAGAAUAAACAGCUAAUUAAAAACCUUACUUAAAUAAACCUAAUAAAAAAUAUCUUUGGUUGGGGCAACCUCGAAGAAAAAACAACCUUCGAUAAUAAAAAUAAAUAAACAAAUUUAAAACUAAGCUUAUAGUCAUCUAUGAUCCGGAAAUGCCGAUCAAAGAAAUAAGUUACCGCAGGGAUAACAGCGUUAUUCUCUUUAAGAGUUCAUAUUGACAAGAGAGUUUGCGACCUCGAUGUUGGACCGGGGCACCCCAGGGGUGCAGCAGCCCCUAAAGGUAGGUCUGUUCGACCUUUAAAGCCCUACGCGAUCUGAGUUCAGACCGACGCAAGU